rnacentral:lncRNA from 1 species
UUCAACUCGUAUUCAUCUUCGUUUUUGCGGGAUGGAUCUUCAACUGGAUCAUGCUGCCAACGCAAGCUUGGUAUAAGUUCUGGGGUCUCAUUCUUGACAAGAACGACUCCAGGGCCUAUGGAGAAUCCGGUAAUCAUCAGUAAAGUUCUCAUUUUGUAUAAUGCAAAAACUUACAUUUGCCAUUCUUAUCACAGCAUCGUAUGCGAUCCUCUACGUUGUGCCUGUGAUUUUCAUAGCUUUCUUCGGCAGCAUCUACAUGAAAUACAUCAAGAUGUUAAGGUAAAGCCUUGAAACAUUAACUUACUUGUCAUCUCCGGGAAUGCUUUCAGGCUGCCAGACUCCAUACGCAACGCUUGGUCUCGUCCAGCACUGAUCAAAGCGCCAAUACUCUCGCUCAUUUCUGGAGUAGAGCUCUUUGUUCUAGCGGCAUUCGUACUCCUGUGUGCAUGGUCGACAUGGCGGCCGAUAAAAACUUUGCUGGACAAGAUCCAUGAUCCUGGACAGCAGUGGAUUGAAGGAUCCCUGUAAGAUCACGAUGACAACUUCACAAAGUCAAGUUUUUGAUCGAAAUACCUUCGGUUUUUUUUUUCUUUAUAGGUGGCUCAGAAGAUGUGAAAUCAUUGGAUACGAGCUUGGUUAUGCUGGACUCGUCCCGUUCGCUUUCCUGUUCUUCCCAGUCGCAAGAACCUCCUCAAUUCUCCACUUGGUGAACAUUCCUUUCGAGCAUUCCGUCAAGUACCACAUCUGGGUAGCAAACAUUACUUUGGUUCUCUGGACGGGUCACUCCGUUGCUUAUCUCAUUCUCUGGAUUCGUGCAAAAGAAACAAGCAAGGUUGGCAACUUAUAAGUUCUCGUCAAAAUAAGCAUACCUCUGACGAGCUCGCAUGGUUUUUGGUUUUUACUCUUCAAGUUUAUCAACCAAGGUGGAAGGUUCGACCUCGCUGGAAUCGGAGCCUCGGUGGCCUUCGCCACAAGCCUUAUCAUGUGGAUCACUGCAAUAAAACCCGUGAGAAAUCGCAAAUUCGAGAUGUUCUUCUACACGCACCAGCUCUACAUCGUCUUCAUCUUUAGCUUCGCCGUCCACGCUGGAGAUCGAGGCCUGGAGACAAUAGCGGCUGGUAUGGUCCUGUUCUUCGUUGAUAGACUCCUCAGGUACCUCCAGUCGCGGAGGCAUGUUGAUAUGGUUUCUGCAAAGCUAAUAUCCUCGGACAUGAUGGAGCUAGCCUUUGCAAAAGAUCCAAGUAAGAAUAGAGAAAAGAAAAGGAAAGUUAUCAUGCCAAAAAUCAUUGCUUUACCAGGUUUGCGAUAUCCAGCCUCGAGCAUUAUGUUUCUCAACAUCCCAGCAGUGUCUAAGCUCCAGUGGCAUCCUUUCACAGUGACCACCAACUCAAACGUGGACGACUACAAGAUCUCCGUGGUCAUCAAAUCCAAAGGAUCCUGGACAAAGAAACUCAGGAACUACGUGACCAACCCCAAGAACUAUCACGUCGACGCGAUCAUCGAAGGCCCCUAUGGACACAGCUUAGACUACCUGAUCGAGUAAGUACCAAAAAAAAAAAAAAAAAAAAGCGUCAAAAACUCACCUCGGUUCUUCUUCUAGCUACUCAAUCCUGGUGUUCGUCGCUGGAGGCAGUGGGAUCACACCCUUCAUCCCAAUUCUCAAGGAGGUGUUCUUCCAGAUCCAAACCGGCCAGAGACCACUUCCGGAAAAGAUCGAGCUCAUCUGGACUUUACGAAACUCGGACGAGCUCAGUGUUUUAGAAUCAGUGUCACCCUGGUCGAUCUGUCCAGACUUUUCCUAUCUGCUCAAUCUCCAAAUCCACGCAUACCUCACAAGACAAGACGCCACGGACCUCAAGAACAAGCCAUCCAACUCUCACGAGACAAUCCUCUUCACAGGAACGCAAUACGAGAAGUACCUCACGCACAAGAAACCAAAGUUUAAGGCAGUCACAGGCACGCAAAGCUACGCUCUCCACGCAGCAGUGAUCCUGGCAAGUUUCGGAGGAUACUUACUUCUCUCGGGAGUGAUCCGGCGAUUCAUCGUGUUCCCGCUGGAUCACAACGUCUAUCACAUCUACAACAAGCCUUCCGCGGGGACGAU